GUUGAACGCUGGCGGCAUGCCUUACACAUGCAAGUCGAACGGUAACGCGGGGCAACCUGGCGACGAGUGGCGAACGGGUGAGUAAUGCAUCGGAACGUGCCCAGUUGUGGGGGAUAACUGCUCGAAAGAGCAGCUAAUACCGCAUACGACCUGAGGGUGAAAGCGGGGGAUCGCAAGACCUCGCGCAAUCGGAGCGGCCGAUGUCGGAUUAGCUAGUUGGUGGGGUAAAGGCCCACCAAGGCGACGAUCCGUAGCUGGUCUGAGAGGACGACCAGCCACACUGGGACUGAGACACGGCCCAGACUCCUACGGGAGGCAGCAGUGGGGAAUUUUGGACAAUGGACGCAAGUCUGAUCCAGCCAUGCCGCGUGCGGGAAGAAGGCCUUCGGGUUGUAAACCGCUUUUGUCAGGGAAGAAACCUUCUGGGUUAAUACCUCGGGAGGAUGACGGUACCUGAAGAAUAAGCACCGGCUAACUACGUGCCAGCCGCCGCCGUAA
rnacentral:rRNA from 1 species